AAUAGCCCGAACAAAAUGCUCAGACACAUGAAAAUGAUUUCGACGCGACCCGUCCCGGAGAUACCGAUUGGAAUCAAAACGGCCAAGAUUGCCGACUGUUCAUGCGACAACAACUUCGGUGGAGGUCAGGCUGCCGGCAGCCGGAUGGAACCGUAUUUCAAGCAGCCUGAACUGCCCAACGACUGCAAGUUUCUGGAGCCGCUCAUCAAAGGCUACGAACGCGAUUGGAACUGCGGGCCAACCAUAGGACAGGACAUGGUUUCACGACGCCGCAUCUUGUCACGAUCCCGUGACGAUCUCCACUUGGACAACUUCCCUGAAGAGGAGGAUGACGUCUGGCACAUCAAGGAGAAACUCUACAAGGACCACAUCCAAGAAGUUUUGGACAAAUGGCAUCAAAUCGACGACGAGAUCUGGGCCAAGCUCAUCGUCAUGGAACGCAAUCGCCGCGUGGCCAAGGCGUAUGCUCGGGCUAUCCCAAUUCAAAUCAACGGAAGCGAUGACGGUUUCGACGGAUUCCGGAUUGGAUUGAAUGGAUUUGAUAAUCCGAUGCGUGACAACCGGACCGAGGAAGCCAAACGUCAGAUCGGCGAAGGAGCCAAGGUUCGCAUGGACGAGAAAGGCAACAUCCACAUCAAGCGCGUUUCCAAGAGCAACAUCUACAUUAAGAAUACGUCCGAUGAAAAUGGAAUCGGCAAUGAUAUCCUUAAGCUACCGCAAGGAGCCCUCGAAUUCGGCAAAGGCUAUCUGCUGUUUGACAUGAAGAAAUUCCAGCAGAAUGUGUCCCGCGAGCUGAAACGCGCCUACCCGGAUCGCCGCAAACUGGAGAUGCAAUGCAUUACGGCCAUUGCCUUCGCCAAGAACGAUAUGGAGCUGCUCAACUGUCCCUGCUGGGUCAUGAUUGUCAACAUCGUGGCUAUGGAUAUGCUCAAAUCAAAGAUGCCACCCGUCAGCAAGCGCUCAGAUAUUCGUAACCGUCCGCGCAUCCCGAUCCCUGAUGAAGAUCCUUACAGCGUGGCUGGCAGCGGAUCUAGCGGCAGCUCGUCGCACAAUGGCAACAUCAACAAUGGAAAUGGCUCCGCUCCGGCCAAUUCAAACGGCGUCGUUGGCACUAAACGUGGUGACAAACCACCAAAGCUGCCACCUCGCGAUAAUGGCAUCUAUGGCUCCAACAUUCCAAAACCUGAUUAUGAUGAGAUUGACGAGAAUGGAUACAAAGCGUUUGCUUCAACUCGUCCCAGCAAGGAGAAGCUGCUGUCGACCGACAAAAAAUACGACGAUCCUUACUAUUGCGGUCUACGCGCCCGCGUCUCUAACUUUGUCAAGAAUAAGAACACCAACGAGAAACCGGUCAAAGAGCUUGGAACUGAGAUUAAAAUGAAGAUGACGCCACACGUAGGCACGUAUCAAGCUGCCCUGUCUCACGGCCACCCCAUGCAGAGUCAUCAAAUGUGGCAUUCGCGAAGCUUCGACAGUGGAAUGGCCUCGCUGCCGAGCAGCGUCACACCCGAUAUUCAACGGUUAUGGAAAGCUUAUCCUUUCGAACGCAAUCCUACGUCGUGGGUACCUUCCCAUACCCAUGGAUACAGCCCAGACACGGCCACAACGAUCAAGACGUACAAGAAAGCUGUGGCAAACAUCCGCACCCUCAGCACGCCGUACAGCUAAAAAUUCCAUGUCACUGACGCCACCCUCCUCCUUUCCUUCUUUUUGCCCUCUUAUUUUUCCCUUAUUUUUUUUGUUUCAUUCCAUUCCUAUUUGUUCCUUGUAUUUCCUUACGUUCGCUACCUACAUAUCCAAAUGACGACAACAGACGACCGCGACCGAGAUGGCAACAUUUCCAACGACGCAGCAGAAUGGGAGUGUUAUUGGGAUGCAUGACCAGGUUGUUGGGCUACUUUCUCUCCGCUGUAUUUCUUUGUUAUUUGCUG
rnacentral:misc_RNA from 1 species